rnacentral:rRNA from 1 species
UACAGAGGUCCCAAGCGUUGUUCGGAUUCAUUGGGCGUAAAGAGCUUGUAGGCGGUCUGUCGCGUCUGCUGUGAAAAUCCGGGGCUCAACCCCGGACUUGCAGUGGGUACGGGCAGACUAGAGUGUGGUAGGGGAGACUGGAAUUCCUGGUGUAGCGGUGAAAUGCGCAGAUAUCAGGAGGAACACCGAUGGCGAAGGCAGGUCUCUGGGCCACUACUGACGCUGAGAAGCGAAAGCAUGGGGAGCGAACAGG